rnacentral:lncRNA from 1 species
UAUGCCAACCGUGUGAGUAACCGUGACUGUCUCUUUCGUGAGUUCCUUCUCCGAUCGAGGACACGGUGGGGUUAUGUCUGACGUAGGUAGGUGUUCAGGAUCAUUCAUUUGAUCACCAGUAGUUCACGUCCGUUAUGCGUAGAUCUUCCCCCUCUUAUUUCUGGUACUCGUAAGUUAGCCACCAAAUAUAUGCUUAGCCGCUGCC